rnacentral:rRNA from 1 species
AGAGUUUGAUCCUGGCUCAGGAUGAACGCUGUCGGCGUGCUUAACACAUGCAAGUCGAACGAUGAAGCCCAGCUUGCUGGGUGGAUUAGUGGCGAACGGGUGAGUAACACGUGAGUAACCUGCCCUUAACUCUGGGAUAAGCCUGGGAAACUGGGUCUAAUACCGGAUAGGAGCGUCCACCGCAUGGUGGGUGUUGGAAAGAUUUAUCGGUUUUGGAUGGACUCGCGGCCUAUCAGCUUGUUGGUGAGGUAAUGGCUCACCAAGGCGACGACGGGUAGCCGGCCUGAGAGGGUGACCGGCCACACUGGGACUGAGACACGGCCCAGACUCCUACGGGAGGCAGCAGUGGGGAAUAUUGCACAAUGGGCGCAAGCCUGAUGCAGCGACGCCGCGUGAGGGAUGACGGCCUUCGGGUUGUAAACCUCUUUCAGUAGGGAAGAAGCGAAAGUGACGGUACCUGCAGAAGAAGCACCGGCUAACUACGUGCCAGCAGCCGCGGUAAUACGUAGGGUGCGAGCGUUAUCCGGAAUUAUUGGGCGUAAAGAGCUCGUAGGCGGUUUGUCGCGUCUGUCGUGAAAGUCCGGGGCUUAACCCCGGAUCUGCGGUGGGUACGGGCAGACUAGAGUGCAGUAGGGGAGACUGGAAUUCCUGGUGUAGCGGUGGAAUGCGCAGAUAUCAGGAGGAACACCGAUGGCGAAGGCAGGUCUCUGGGCUGUAACUGACGCUGAGGAGCGAAAGCAUGGGGAGCGAACAGGAUUAGAUACCCUGGUAGUCCAUGCCGUAAACGUUGGGCACUAGGUGUGGGGACCAUUCCACGGUUUCCGCGCCGCAGCUAACGCAUUAAGUGCCCCGCCUGGGGAGUACGGCCGCAAGGCUAAAACUCAAAGGAAUUGACGGGGGCCCGCACAAGCGGCGGAGCAUGCGGAUUAAUUCGAUGCAACGCGAAGAACCUUACCAAGGCUUGACAUGUUCUCGAUCGCCGUAGAGAUACGGUUUCCCCUUUGGGGCGGGUUCACAGGUGGUGCAUGGUUGUCGUCAGCUCGUGUCGUGAGAUGUUGGGUUAAGUCCCGCAACGAGCGCAACCCUCGUUCCAUGUUGCCAGCACGUCGUGGUGGGGACUCAUGGGAGACUGCCGGGGUCAACUCGGAGGAAGGUGAGGACGACGUCAAAUCAUCAUGCCCCUUAUGUCUUGGGCUUCACGCAUGCUACAAUGGCCGGU